rnacentral:rRNA from 1 species
AUUGAACGCUGGCGGAAUGCUUUACACAUGCAAGUCGAACGGCAGCACGGACUUCGGUCUGGUGGCGAGUGGCGAACGGGUGAGUAAUAUAUCGGAACGUGCCCAGUCGUGGGGGAUAACGUAGCGAAAGCUACGCUAAUACCGCAUACGAUCUACGGAUGAAAGCGGGGGAUCGCAAGACCUCGCGCGAUUGGAGCGGCCGAUAUCAGAUUAGGUAGUUGGUGAGGUAAAGGCUCACCAAGCCGACGAUCUGUAGCUGGUCUGAGAGGACGACCAGCCACACGGGGACUGGGAACCGGCCCAGACACCUACGGGAGGCAGCAGUGGGGAAUUUUGGACAAUGGACGCAAGUCUGAUCCAGACAUUCCGCGUGCAGGACGAAGGCCGUCGGGUUGUAAACUGCUUUUGUACAGAACGAAAAGGUCUCUAUUAAUACUAGGGGCUCAUGACGGUACUGUAAGAAUAAGCACAGGCUAACUACGUGCCAGCAGCCGCCGCGG